UGUGAAGGGGUUGGCAUGGCAGGUAAAGGUUGCAUAUUAACUCAGCUGAGGACGUGUUACUCUACUCGGUGCAGAGAAGAGGAAUCCCUGGCAGGAGUGGAUAUGCCUAAGGUAAGCCAGCAGGUGUGACGACGACUGGUCUCAGGACUUGGGCACUUGGAUGCUCAGGGUGAGAGGAGUACAGUGGGAAGUGCUUUGGAACCAGAGAGAUGGGAUCAAAUCCCACUUGGUUCUGCUGCUUACCAGUUUGGGCAACCUGAGCCCGAAAAAAAAAAAAAGCUCCUACCCUGCAGAAGUUUUGAGAAUUAGAUAUUAUGUAGUAAAAUGUGCAGUGUCAGUUCCAAACCCCUACCUGUGACUAACUUUUAGAAAUGGGUUGAUAUUCAUGAGGACUCAGAGUAAGAAAGUCAAGAAAACGAAGUAUAGGCA